rnacentral:rRNA from 1 species
CGGGGAGCAGCCCAGAGCCUGAAUCAGUGUGUGUGUUAGUGGAAGCGUCUGGAAAGGCGUGCGAUACAGGGUGACAGCCCCGUACACAAAAAUGCACAUACUGUGAGCUCGAUGAGUAGGGCGGGACACGUGGUAUCCUGUCUGAAUAUGGGGGGACCAUCCUCCAAGGCUAAAUACUCCUGACUGACCGAUAGUGAACC